AAGCUUGUCCUUGGCUGAGGAUUUAAAACAAAAGUGUCACGUGAUAACUUAGAAGGCAGGAAUGUACUAAGUUUGAAGUCCUAGGUGAGAAGCCCUAGGUAAAAAGCUUAGAAAACAGAAUCUUAGUACUAUGGUUACUAUUGGUUGCAUUUGUCAGGGUGAAAAAAAAACAACAACAAAACACUUUGAAAGUAAGAGGCUAACUGCAUCCAUGGAUAGGAUACACAUUAAAACACAGAAUCUUUGACCCCACCCCCAGACACAGGAAAAAAGGGGGGGUGGCUGUAGCUCUAAUCAUUAGAGCUAUUCAUAAAUAUUUUGACUCUUUCCUGGGGAAAUAGUAGGACUGCAGUUCCCUGCCCAGGUGAAGUUGGACAUGGCCCUGUCAUUUUGUACUUCCAAUAAAAUGUAAACAGAAGUCAUGUGUGUCAAUUUCAGGUUACAAAGCAGGAUGAAAGAACUGUUCAGAAACAACAAAAUCAAUCUUCAUGUCAUAAUGAACACUAGAACAGAAAUUUUUAGAUUAUGACAAUAAAAAGCCAAGACCCCGUUUUCACUGCACAGAAGUUUAUUGUGAAAGUAAAUUAAACAUACAAACACACAUUAUGGCUAAUGGUGGCAAAAGCAAUCUGGUAGGUUAAGGCAAGUUUUAAUGGAGAUGAAUUUAGAAAAGAUGACGCAAUGAUGUAAUUCUGUUUAAAUAUAGAUUAUGGGAAAAUAUCGAAUUGCAUCAAUAACUUAAUAAAAGUAGCUCCAAAGCCUGCACUAUCAGAGAAAAAGGGCUCAUGAUCUUAAUGCCAGCAUUAAGACAGAUGGAAGCAGCAUUGUGCUAAAUGACAGGAAAAAUUCAGUAUUUACAGAAUGGCAACAUUAACAUUUAAUAACAUUUGAUCGUAGUUA